rnacentral:sRNA from 1 species
GCGGAGGAAAAGAAACCAACAGGGAUUGCCUUAGUAACGGCGAGUGAAGCGGCAACAGCUCAAAUUUGAAAUCUGGUCCCCUUUGGGGGCCCGAGUUGUAAUUUGAAGAGGAUGCUUUUGGCGAGGCGCCGUCCGAGUUCCCUGGAACGGGACGCCGCAGAGGGUGAGAGCCCCGUACGGUCGGACGCCGAGCCUCUGUAAAGCUCCUUCGACGAGUCGAGUAGUUUGGGAAUGCUGCUCAAAAUGGGAGGUAAACCCCUUCUAAAGCUAAAUACUGGCCAGAGACCGAUAGCGCACAAGUAGAGUGAUCGAAAGAUGAAAAGCACUUUGAAAAGAGAGUUAAAAAGCACGUGAAAUUGUUAAAAGGGAAGCGCUUGCGACCAGACUUGCGCCCGUCGGAUCAACCGUCGCUUGCGGCGGCGCACUCCGGCGGGCUCAGGCCAGCAUCAGUUCGUCCGGGGGGAGAAAGGCGGCGGGAAUGUGGCUCUUCGGAGUGUUAUAGCCCGCCGUGUAAUACCCUCGG